CAGAUUGUAGCUUAUAUAAAAGUUUGUUAUUUACAUUAAUGGGAAAAAUUUUCAGUAUUUCUUUCUGA
rnacentral:tRNA from 1 species